UAGGGAAUCUUCCACAAUGGACGCAAGUCUGAUGGAGCAACGCCGCGUGAGUGAAGAAGGUUUUCGGACCGUAAAGCUCUGUUGUUGGUGAAGAAGGAUAGAGGUAGUAACUGGCCUUUAUUUGACGGUAAUCAACCAGAAAGUCACGGCUAACUACGUGCCAGCAGCCGCGGUAAAUACGUAGGUGGCAAGCGUUGUCCGGAUUUAUUGGGCGUAAAGCGAGCGCAGGCGGAAGAAUAAGUCUGAUGUGAAAGCCCUCGGCUUAACCGAGGAAUUGCAUCGGAAACUGUUUUCUUGAGUGCAGAAGAGGAGAGUAGAACUCCAUGUGUAGCGGUGGAAUGCGUAGAUAUAUGGAAGAAUACCAGUGGCGAAGGCGGCUCUCUGGUCUGCAACUGACGCUGAGGCUCGAAAGCAUGGGUAGCGAACAGGGUUAGAUACCCUGGUAGUCCAUGCCGUAAAACGAUGAGUGCUAAGUGUUGGGAGGCUUCCGCCUCUCAGUGCUGCAGCUAACGCAUUAAGCACUCCGCCUGGGGGAGUACGAC
rnacentral:rRNA from 1 species